CGUCCAAUCAGAGGCAGCAGCAGCCAGGCAGAGCUGCCAGAGUGAAGCUGCACUGAGAAACAGAGCAGAGCCUUUUGCAUUAGCCCGCCACACUGUUUCAGAAAGCUACCUUGGUGGAUAGAGAGGCAGAUGGAAAAGAACUGAACGAAGGUUGCAGCACAACUGAGAAUCACAACUCCUUCUCUGUCACCAUGGAAACCACUGAACAAUCAGAGCCGGCAAUGGACUGUGAAGUGGAGGUUGCUGUGGCUGAUUCACCUGAGCAGGGGAAGGAUUGCAGUGCAGAAGAUGAGCCAGUUUGUUUAGAGACAGACUUUGCAGAUUUCCCAGGUGAAAUAGCGAUGCUUGACAAAUUAUUAACUGACCUGCCAACCGACACGAUUAAGAUCGACAAGCCUGACUGUGAAGAGACCAGUGUUUGCACAGAAAUGCCUUGUCAAGAUCAAAAGGAGGCGUUGACAUUACAAUCAGUGCAUGAAGAGCUCAACAGAAAUGAGUCAAUCACCUCAUCUGUGUCUGACACACUCUCCAGUGCUGAUAGUGUUUAUGAAAAUGAGGCCCAUCGUAAGAGGCAGGACAUGCCAGAACAAGAUCCUGAACAAGAACAAGUCCCCGAGCCAGAGCAAUUCCCCGAGCCAGAGCAAUUCCCUGAGCCAGAGCAAUUCCCCGAGCCAGAGCAAUUCCCUGAGCCAGAGCAAUUCCCCGAGCCAGAGCAAUUCCCCGAGCCAGAGCAAUUCCCCGAGGCAGAGCAAUACCUUGAGCCAGAGCAAUACCUUGAGCCAGAGCAAUUCCCUGAGGCAGAGCAAUUCCCCGAGGCAGAGCAAUUCCCCGAGGCAGAGCAAUUCCCCGAGGAAGAGCAAUUCCCCGAGGCAGAGCAAUUCCCCUGAGGCAGAGCAAUUCCCCGAGGCAGAGCAAUACCCUGAGGCAGAGCAAUACCCUGAGGCAGAGCAAUACCCUGAGGCAGAGCAAUACCUUGAGGCAGAGCAAUACCUUGAGGCAGAGCAAGAUCCUGAACGAGAACAAUGCCAUGAACAAGAGGAAGACUUUGGACUGGGGCAGUACCCUGAGCCAGAACAACACCCUGAACCAGACCGGUACCCUGAGCCGGAGCAAUACCCUGAGCUAGAGUUAUACCCGGAGCCUGAGGCUGAGUAUAAUGAGCUUAAUCUGGAAGAUGAUGGUUAUCAAAAUGUGGCAAUAGACACAGAGGAAGACCCAGAGGCCUGUGACAUCCUAUUUGAACCACCCAUUACAGAGGAGUCGAUAUUAGAGCAGUGUAUUAGAGAAGAGGCAAUGUCAGAUGUUUCCAAUGAAUCCUGCCACGACCAUGAGCCGGAUGAAAUGGACGACUGCCUGGAAGUUGAGAAUGCAGCAGGAUCCCCAGACAGUGAGGCAGAUGAAAAAUGGAGAUCAAUAUUCUCUUCUUCUAUAAAUAAAGAAGAUGAUGACUCAUAUUUGGACAGUCUUCAGCUGAGUGCACAGGAGCUCUUUGUGCAGAAAGUUGAGGUGACAGACCUUGAGGAACAUGACAACAACAACAUUGAAGAAGUCAGUUUUGAGGUUCCACAAGUGGAAGAAGUUCUGGAACAACCUGAGGAUAUCAUUUCCUUUCCUUCCACUCCACAAGAGGUUAAAUAUAACCCUUUAGGCCUUCAAGGUUUGUCCAAAAUCUCUGAAGAUGAGAGUGAAAAUGGCAGAGAUGCCAAUCAUAACCAUGCCACCCAUCAAAAGCACGUCAAUGCAGAUUUGAACAAGAAGCUACCUAAAGACUUCUGUGUGAUACAAGAGACCAAGAGCAAGAAUGUUAGCACAGAGCAUGUGGACUUCCAGCUGGCCCGUAAACAGUGGCGGGAAAUGGAGGAGCAAACCAUGAACAAGAUUGUCUUACCUACAACCAAGCAGCCCGGCUUCCAUGGCAGCCACAGCUUCAUGUACACACCGGUCCGCAACAUUGAAAGAACUCACAAGAAAGCUAAUGAUCUGGAGAACUUGAAUCUGGUUGGUGAUUAUCCUCUCACCCAAUUCAGCCCUUGCUCAGAGGAUUCUGGCCUGGAUGAUUCCAGUUACAGGUCCCCGUACGAUGACCCAGAAACAACAGUGGAAAGGGAGAUUCGUAUGUCAAUGGAGAGGGAGGAAAGCUUCAGGAGAGAAAAGGGCCUCUCCAGGAUGGGAAAGUCCACUGAUUGUGCUCCAUCACGAAGUAUGCCAAGAUCUAUAAGCACUCCUCUGACACCAUCAUUCAUCAUUACAUCCUCACCUAGUAAGGAACCACUGAAACGUGAAGUAUCCGCAAACAACGUUAUCAUUUUCGACCCGAGAAAUGGCAAAGACAACGUGAUGGCUCAGUCCGGCGACUGGUGCUCUGAGGACAACAGCUCCAACCUCAUCAUCCUAGAGACAUCCAAUCUGAUUAUCCGCAGUGCCUCUGAGUUCUCACUCAACAAAGCCUGUGAGCAAACCCAAGAAAAAAUGUUCCUGAACAACCCUUUUUUCAAGCUGCGUUCAAGAAGCACAAUGUCACUGGUGGAUGAAGAGAUUAAGAUGGUGAAGCAGAGGGAAGAUGAUCUGAGGAAAGAGAGGGUGAAUCUUUAUGGCACAGACCGGUUCAAUAACGAAAGGAUAUUGUCGAAUCACAUGGACACUUUGGCGUUUGACAAUUCAGCAGUGAAGUGCAAGUCCUCUCCAUCAUCGCCAAUGAAAACAACCUACAGGAUGGAUCGCUCUGCUUUAUCCUGUGAUCACAGAUUUCCAGACAUCUACUCAGGAGGAAGACGCAAGAGUGCCAUGGCUCUGCGCUGGGAGGCUGGCGAGUUUACAAAAAAUGACUGAAGAGGACCUAGUCAACAGUUUGCCAUAUAAGGGCAUCAAUUGUCAAUGUUAUACUCAUUCAAGUUUAAUGCAGUGUUGCAAUUGUUUGUUUCAUCUUGUGACAUAACCUAAACUCUCUGCUUCUGUGAUGCUUUGGGCAAAACUAGCAAGAUAAUGAGAAUGUAUAUUUUGGACAAAUCGCAUAUUGAACUCGUACGGUUUUAUACUGUACCACGCAUAAAGAUAACACUUGAUUCUGGCCAGAGGCUGUAUAUUAUAUUCGGACCCACGUGGCUUAGACGUGUCCUCAUCCCUUUUGAAUCAACACUCAUCGCCGGAAGGCUGCUGGUUUCAGCUCUUACUAGGCUACAGCUUCUACUACUUGUUGGAGUAGUAAAGUAAUGUUUAUCACCAUAUUGACAAGGACAGUGCCAACACACAGUUUCCAUUUAAAACUAAUUGAGUAUACAAUACUAACUAUUUUGAACUGUGGCAGGUGAUGAUGGAAUAAAAGAGACAAACCCAGUUUAUCAGCUUAUGUGUCAUGCAAUAUCGUUCAAUAACUGCAUGCCUCCUUGUGGAUGAUCACUUGCCUGUUGAAGAACUGUUUGAAAGAUCAAAUCUAGAAUCUCAGAAAAACUGCAAGUGGAAGAAAAUAAAAUUCUAAAAUAUCUGGCCUUAUUUAUGAGGAUCGUAUUAAAGGAUGCGACUCUCUUAAUGCAGUUCUCACAUGCCAUAUGUACAUCAACAGAGUUAUUGGUCGCUGUGAUCAGAAAGUUCAGCCGAAGCUAAUACGAGGCUUAAAGCAGAGACAAAUCAAGUGGCCAUCGAAUGUAAGUGUAUUGCUAAUAUAAUACUGCCUGUAGUGUUAUUGGUCUUGUGUUGAAUAAUGUUUCUCCUGUUAAUAUUGUUUUCUGUAGCGCUGCCUUCUAAGUUAUGAGAUAGGGUUUAAUUAAAAGUAUCGCUGGGGUAAGCUUUAUGCCUCAAAGGAUAGAUGUUAAAAGUUGCAGCUAAAGUUGUGUUGAGAUUAAAGUUGUUUUUUGUCACUUGGGGGGGCAACAGAAACAGGCUGUAAACAAAACAUUAUCAUAUAUUAGCAGAAAACACAUUUACACACCAAACAGAGCAGCAUUAUCACUCAUGUGGACUCAUGUAGUCCUAGUUUAGUGUCUAACUGUCUCUUGUUAGCUCGUAUUAACUGUCUGUUUCAGCUGGUGACGGAGCAGGCUUCAGCUGAACAUCAGAAUGCAUUCAGGACUGUGGUAUUUAUAUAUAUAUAUAUAUAUAUAUAUAUAUAUAUAUACACACACAUAUAUAUAUAUAUACACACAUAUACAGUGUAUUCAUACUAGGAAGAGAUUGCCUCAAGGCCAGUAUUAACAGGAGGGAGGAUGCAAGUGACCAAUAAGUCUUUCAACAUACAAAUGACAUGUGACUCACUGAUGCACCGCUGUCUUAAAUAUGAACAGCUGUAAUCAGGAAACUCCGUAACUCACCCAAAGUCAGCAGAGCAGCCGGACGAUAUCAGAGGGGAAACUAUAAAACAUUUUCUCCAUGAAAUAUGAUCCAGUCUCACCAAAAUCAACUUAAAGUAAAGCCUUACGCACUUCUCCCGAGAGAUUACUCUGUGCAAGCGCAGAUGUCGGGGGGAACAGAGACGUACGUGCAGCCUCAACAUGAUUCUGUUUUAUUUUAGGGUGAAAUAUUUCCAUAGUGUUGCUUUAAAAGACGAUUAUUAGCUGAGAGUAAUUUGAAAGUAGUUUUCGCUGCCUGAAUGUUAGACAAAUGUAUUGUUGAGUCCACUCUAUGCUUGACUUCUCUUGACAUUAUAAAUGUAAAUCAGAUUUGAAAACAUAUUUUGAUGUUAUCGUAUGUCUUGAUACAGCAAAUGCUACAUUGCUCAGUGUAUAUUAAUUGUAUUUUCGUACUAUGCUUUGUUUUGCCGCAAAUUAAUAUUUUAGGGUGAGCUGGACGGGAAACAAUAAGCACAACAUAUAUUAUACCUUUCACUGGAAACAUAUAGUUCAAUCACAUAAUGUAACAUAACGCGUAAAGGGGAUGUCAAGAUUUUAGUGAGAAUAUAAAUAUGCAUUUCAGUUUUGUCGCUCCCUGAGUGACACUUCAGGACGCACUACCUGCAGAAGGACAAUCCAAUACGUGCAGGUAUCAACUAGAGGACCAAUGACACCAUGUGGAAAGUGGACCUCCAUUGUCUGAAAUCUCAGUGCUUUGGAAAUUCCAAAUAAUAAAAUAGAUUUCCACAAAUUAUAGUAUUUUAUUCUUUAUACAAUAUAACUAUAAAUGAACGCUCACUCAUAUACUGUACAGUGAAGCUGCAGUAUACUUACAUGAACCCUUUGUUCCAACAUUCAGCGAUUAUUUCAACGUUUAGGGCACCGGGAGGCAGUAUUCAUGUUCAAGCACCUUUCUUUGUGGCUCCCUGUAUUGUGAAUGUCAUGAACCACAAACACGAUGUAUUUUCAAAAGAUUUUCCUAAAUAGAAAACACCGUUAUUUGAUGGUUUUAAUAAAGAAAAUUGUUAUUUACAAAGCCUUGACAUUUCCAGCUACUAUUAAAAGCAGCUUCUAAAAGCUUGUGACUUUCUUGACCUUAGAUUCAACUGACCUUAAACAGCAUUGUUUUACAUUCCAUGUUUGUAUGCUUCAUUGUUAUAUUAUAGCUUACAAAUCUCAAGAUUGCUUGCUGAUGUUUAAACAUUGUGUGAAAAGUCCCUGACAUGGCUUUUUG
rnacentral:lncRNA from 1 species